AAAGAUCGUAGUUUUGUAUUGUUUAUGUCUAACGUUUGACCAUCUGUCUUAUUUAAAAAUUUUUCAUGACCAAUAUUUUAUUUGUUAUUAGAUGUAAAACAUGGAUAACAAUAUACUCAUGUGACUAAUUUUUUUAAUUUUAUUUAUAAAUUUUUUAAAUAAAAUGUACUGUCAAUUAAACGUUGGACACGGAAACUCACGGCUGCAUUUAAA
rnacentral:pre_miRNA from 1 species